rnacentral:rRNA from 1 species
GAUUCCCCUAGUAACUGCGAGUGAAGCGGGAAAAGCUCAAAUUUAAAAUCUGGCGGUCUUUGGCCGUCCGAGUUGUAAUCUAGAGAAGUGUUACCCGCGCCGGACCGUGUAUAAGUCUCCUGGAAUGGAGCGUCAUAGAGGGUGAGAAUCCCGUCUUUGACACGGACUCCCGGGGCAUUGUGGUGCGCUCUCAAAGAGUCGAGUUGUUUGGGAAUGCAGCUCAAAAUGGGUGGUAAAUUCCAUCUAAAGCUAAAUAUUGGCGAGAGACCGAUAGCGAACAAGUACCGUGAGGGAAAGAUGAAAAGAACUUUGGAAAGAGAGUUAAACAGUACGUGAAAUUGCUGAAAGGGAAACGCUUGGAGUCAGUCGCGUUGGCCGGAAAUCAACCUUGCUUCUGCUUGGUGUACUUUCUGGUUGACGGGCCAGCAUCAGUUUUGACCGGUGGAGAAAGUUCAAGGGAAUGUGGCAUCUCAGGAUGUGUUAUAGCCCUUGUUCGUAUGCACCGAUUGGGACUGAGGAAUUCAGCACGCCGAAAGGCCGGGUCUUUGACCACGUUCGUGCUUAGGAUGCUGGCAUAAUGGCUUUAAUCGACCCGUCUUGAAACACGGACCAAGGAGUCUAACAUGCCUGCGAGUGUUUGGGUGGAAAACCCGAGCGCGUAAUGAAAGUGAAAGUUGGGAUCCUUGUCAUGGGGAGCACCGACGCCCGGACCAGACGUUUACAGACGGAUCCGCGGUAAAGCAUGUAUGUUGGGACCCGAAAGAUGGUGAACUAUGCCUGAAUAGGGUGAAGCCAGAGGAAACUCUGGUGGAGGCUCGUAGC